GGAACCUGCGGAAGGAUCAUUAUCGAGUUUUGAAAAGGGUUGUAGCUGGCCUUCGGCAACAAGUCGGAGGCAUGUGCACGCCUGGCUCAUCCACUCUCAAACCCCUGUGCACCUUUUGUAGGCUUCGGCAGAGAGGACUGACUUCGGUCGGUUCAGGAAGCCUUGUGCCUAUGUCACACAUACAAACGCUUCAGUUUAGAAUGUAACGAAUCGUGCGCCUCGGUGCAACGAAAUAAAUACAACUUUCAGCAACGGAUCUCUUGGCUCUCGCAUCGAUGAAGAACGCAGCGAAAUGCGAUAAGUAAUGUGAAUUGCAGAAUUCAGUGAAUCAUCGAAUCUUUGAACGCACCUUGCGCUCCUUGGUAUUCCGAGGAGCAUGCCUGUUUGAGUGUCAUGAAAUUCUCAACCUUUGAAGCUUUUUUUUGAGCUCGCAAAGGCUUGGACUUGGAGGUCGUGUCGGCUCGUAACAAAGUCGACUCCUCUGAAAUGCAUUAGUGUGAAACCUUCGCAGGAUCGCCUUCGGUGUGAUAAUUGUCUACGCCGUCGGUCGUGAAAGUCGAAACAUACGUGUUCACGCUUCUAAUCGUCCGUCGAGGACAAACUUUUUUCUUGACCAUCUGACCUCAAAUCAGGUAGGACUACCCGCUGAACUUAAGCAUAUC
rnacentral:rRNA from 1 species